AGAGUUUGAUCCUGGCUCAGGACGAACGCUGGCGGCGUGCCUAACACAUGCAAGUCGAACGGAGAAUUUUAUUUCGGUAGAAUUCUUAGUGGCGAACGGGUGAGUAACGCGUAGGCAACCUGCCCUUUAGACGGGGACAACAUUCCGAAAGGAGUGCUAAUACCGGAUGUGAUCAUCGUGCCGCAUGGCAGGAUGAAGAAAGAUGGCCUCUACAAGUAAGCUAUCGCUAAAGGAUGGGCCUGCGUCUGAUUAGCUAGUUGGUAGUGUAACGGACUACCAAGGCGAUGAUCAGUAGCCGGUCUGAGAGGAUGAACGGCCACAUUGGGACUGAGACACGGCCCAAACUCCUACGGGAGGCAGCAGUGGGGAAUCUUCCGCAAUGGACGAAAGUCUGACGGAGCAACGCCGCGUGAGUGAUGAAGGAUUUCGGUCUGUAAAGCUCUGUUGUUUAUGACGAACGUGCAGUGUGUGAACAAUGCAUUGCAAUGACGGUAGUAAACGAGGAAGCCACGGCUAACUACGUGCCAGCAGCCGCGGUAAUACGUAGGUGGCGAGCGUUGUCCGGAAUUAUUGGGCGUAAAGAGCAUGUAGGCGGCUUAAUAAGUCGAGCGUGAAAAUGCGGGGCUCAACCCCGUAUGGCGCUGGAAACUGUUAGGCUUGAGUGCAGGAGAGGAAAGGGGAAUUCCCAGUGUAGCGGUGAAAUGCGUAGAUAUUGGGAGGAACACCAGUGGCGAAGGCGCCUUUCUGGACUGUGUCUGACGCUGAGAUGCGAAAGCCAGGGUAGCGAACGGGAUUAGAUACCCCGGUAGUCCUGGCCGUAAACGAUGGGUACUAGGUGUAGGAGGUAUCGACCCCUUCU
rnacentral:rRNA from 1 species